rnacentral:rRNA from 1 species
CGAUUGGGAAUUAGGGUUCGAUUCCGGAGAGGGAGCCUGAGAGAUAGCUACCACUUCUACGGAGGGCAGCAGGCGCGUAAAUUGCCCAAUGCCAAAUCGGCGAGGCAGCGAAGAAAAAUAGCGAUCCCGUUUCUUACGAAUCGGGAGUUGCAAUGUGUGGUACGUAAACCCACCAACGAGUAACGAUUGGAGGACAAGUCUGGUGCCAGCACCCGCGGUAAUUCCAGCUCCAAUAGCGUAUAUUAAUGUUGCUGCUGUUAAAGGGUUCGUAGUUGGACUCGGGGCGCGCGGAUGCCCGCACACUCGUGCGCGCUCUUGCGCGCCCCGUCACAGACGGAGCCGCGUUCCGCCGCGUGCCUUCAGUGGUACGCGGCCCCCGCAAGGGACCGAGUGCGACACACUCUUUGAACCGUCCGUCGUUCUCACCGUGAAUAAAACAGCGUGUUCAAGGCAGCCGUUCGGCCGCAUGACAAAGCAUGGAAUGACAGAGCAUCGACCAGCUGGGCGUGCUUUUGUUGGUUUUACUACCUCGUUGGGUAACUCGCCCCCGUGGGCUCGCUCUGCGGAGCGUCCCGCGGGCGCACGGGAUUAACGGGGGUUGUCGGGGAAAACCGUAUUCGGGCGUGAGAGGUGAAAUUCUUAGACCGCCCGGGGACGAACUCAAGCGAAGGCAGUUUUCAAGUAUACCUUCAUCAAUCAAGAACUAAAGUGUGGAGAUCGAAGAUGAUUAGAUACCAUUGUAGUCCACCACUGCAAACGAUGACGCCCAUGGAUCGGACAGUAUUUUAUUCCGAUGGGAUCUUUUCGGCACUGCUCCCCUUCAACGCGAAAGCUGAGGCUAUGGCCUCAUGGGGAAGUACGUUCGCAAGGCUGAAACUUAAAGAAAUUGACGGAAUGGCACCACCAGACGUGGAGUGUGCGGUUUAAUUUGACUCAACACGGGAAACCUUACCAGGACAGGACAACGGAAUGAUUGACAGAUUGAUAGCUCUUUCUUGAUUCGUUUGACGGUGGUGCAUGGCCGCUUUUGGUCGGUGAAGUGAUUUGUUUGGUUGAUUCCUUUAACGGACGAGACCCAAUCCGCUUACUAGGUGCGUCAUUCUGUUUGGGGCUGUGCCUCCGGGCGCGGCCGUGAAAAUGGCGCCCCUUCUUCGCGGCAUCCCAUGCGCCUUAGCAUGGUGGCAUUUUGGGCAACAGCAGGUCC